UGGGGAAUUUUGCACAAUGGGGGAAACCCUGAUGCAGCGACGCCGCGUGAUUUAGAAGGCCUUCGGGUUGUAAAAAUCUUUUUUACGGGAUGAAAAUGACAGUACCGUAAGAAUAAGGUCCGGCUAAAUACGUGCCAGCAGCCGCGGUAAUACGUAUGGACCGAGCGUUGUCCGGAAUCAUUGGGCGUAAAGGGUACGUAGGCGGCCUAGUAAGUUAGAAGUGAAAUAAUAUAGCUCAACUAUAUAAAGCUUUUAAAACUGCUAGGCUUGAGAGAUGGAAGGGAAAGUGGAAUUCCUAGUGUAGCGGUGAAAUGCGCAGAUAUUAGGAAGAAUGCCGGUGGCGAAGGCGACUUUCUGGUCAUCAUCUGACGCUGAGGUACGAAAGCGUGGGUAGCAAACAGG
rnacentral:rRNA from 1 species